CGGCCGGCCUCCCCAUCGAAUCUAUAGCGCUGGGCUACCCUCCUCCCUCUGGUCUCCUUGCUGCGCCCACGGCGAGCUCGCCUCACCACCGGAGCACCUCCUGUCUGGUGCACUUCCUCCUCUCCUCCCUCCCGUCUACUCCUCCCUUGUCGUUGCGCCCUGCCAUGCUUCCGCCGCACCACAAGCAGAGCGCCGGCUGUCUGCCGCACUUCCUCCUCUCCCUCCUCCGGUCACCGCCACCCGCUGCGCCCACGACCAUCCACCGUGCCCACCAGGCGCGACACAAGCAUAGCGCUGGCUAUCUGUCGCGCUUCCUCCUCUCCCUCCUACCGCUGCGCCCACGGCACCCACGCAUCCACCUGCCCACCAUGCAUGCCGCCACCCCUGUACGCCUCCUCCGCUUCCAGACUGACUCCCGGUCCCACCUUCAAGCCGUCGUCGCUGCUCACUGAGCCAUUAGCAGCUCCCCUCACAGCACACUUCCUAAGCUCCGAGCCUGACGCGGGUCGUCCGCCAUGGUCACCUGCAGCGUCGUCCGCCAUGGUCACCGUGCACCCAGAAUGGACCCUCUGUAAACCGUUCCUCUGCUCCACGACGUGGAUGGUGAGGAGCCCGAUUCAAAGGCAAGGUGAGCACUUCCGCAUUUACUUCACUGUUGCUCGCUAGGAGUCUGAAGCUGGAAGCUGGAGAUCCUCAAAUUUUUUGUUUGCUGACAUCAAACCAGCCCACUUUGUGGACGCCUUUGCAGCCCAAUGCUCCAAAUGGCCCAUGUUGUUUAUCUUCUCCGAUGCCAUCACUUAAACCCUUCAGCUGCUGGUCAUUAGUGAUUGACGCUUCGCUUCCUCUCCCCAUGAUCUCUGCAGAAGAAACUGAUGGAUUCAUCUUUAAAUUCGGUGCUCCACCUGAACUCACUUUGUACUAAUCGUCCUCCAUACGGGUGGGCGUCCUCCAUACCGCUCAUACCCGUACCACUGGUGAGAAACUCCCUCCCCUCUCCUUCUCGACAUUCCCUAUGACGUAUUGAUCUAUGUCCGUGAUUCAACCUCGCGCCGCCGGCUCCCAUCCUCCUCCCUCUCCCACAACGGCCAGCGACGCAUGUGUUCGUGGCUCCAAGGACCAACUUGCUUCUUCCGCUUUGAUCUGAAGAUGACGAUCCGGAGGAGGCCCACGACGGUGUCCCGUUUCUUCUCUGGUAAAGCUCUUCUUUUCUUCUGAAUAAGGCUUUUGUCAAGUUCUUGUGCUCUUCUUUAAUUAUUAUUUUGAUGAAACACAGCUAGAUCGCUAUUUUCAUUCAUUAAGAACGGGAGCACACCUCAAAAUGAGGGAAAUUUUUUGUUACAGACCCACUGUGCAAGGUCGAAGGAAAUAAGAAGGAUGAAUUACAGUAUGAGUUUAAGUAGGAUUAGAUGAUUAGUGAUUGAAAGCUGCAAAGCGGCAAAGGCCUGGACUGGUUAAACUUUUCUUAUCCGUGAUUACCCAGCCACCGGACACUCUUGAUCUAACCUUCUGCAAGGUGCCCAGCUCCAGAACAAUGGAAUCACACUUAUGCAGGAACAACGAAGCUUCGAGAUUGAAAAUACGGUCAGUUCGCUCCAUCCAUAUGCUCCACCAAAUAAUCAUGACCAUGGACAAGAAAGUGUGCACUCGGCAAUCAGGAAUAUAGUCCAGAGCAUGCAGCCACCAGUCAAUCAAGCUAAGAUUAUUCAACUGCGUAAAAAAUGGUAGUGGUACAAAGAUAAAUGGUGGGGUGUGAAGCAGCUGGUGGGUUACGGGGUAUACCAUCAUCGCAUCACACGCCGUCGCCAUCCGCUUACAUGAAGGUUUCAGAAGCUCCCUCUUGCCACCACUGUUAUCUUUUGUCUAUUUGAUUAGCGCUGUUCUUUCUCUUGAAUAUUUUAGCUAUUAGAAAUGUUGGAUCUCUUGGUAUUUGCCCAUCGACCUGAUAAGUCGUACCUUUUUGAUAAAUAGUUUGGUAAAACUACAUCAUUCAGUUCAUUUCUUGGAUCACCUCCAGUAGUAGUUAAUUUUAUUUUUUAAAUCAAAUGGAAGUUUUCAUAGAAAUUUAAAGACUGCAUAUAUUGGUCCAGAUAUUGAUUAUACAUUACAUAUGAGAGGAAAUUGCAGAGUGCCAUAAACAACCUGCUGAAGUCUAUGAUUACAGAGAGGUGUAGGCGUGUAGCCAUGGUGGUGAUAUUGUCUGAUUGUGAAGAUCAGGGGCGGAGCCAGAUUUGGAGCAUGCUCUGGGCUGGCAAUUGUCAAUUUGCUUUUAAUGUUAAUCAACACAUUUUCUCUCUUAUCUCUAUACAUCUUUACUGGCGCUAUCAGCGAUACUGCAGGGUUACCAUGAUACGUGAUUUUCACAGAAACAUGAAAACGAGAGUACAUUUGCUUCGGGAUGGUGAAUUUAGGAGGAGACAUACCACUUCCACUCAUCGGCGAUCUUAAUGGAGUGGCUAUGAAACAAAAAUAUUAGGAGUAAAUAUGAAGAGUCUUUUCUCCCAUUUCAGUUUCUUUGAAGAAUCAAGAAUGCCAAGUACAACACAAAUUCUAAUUGUUGCUUUGCUACGAAUGAAAAAGAUAAAAUCAUUAGAGUAGGGAACUUCUAGACAAGGUACAACCUACAUGUAUAAAUCUUUGAAAAAAGUUAUCAUGCCAGUAUAUGUAAAUAAAAUUUAGUUUUUUUCACAUUACUACUUCCUUCGCAACUAAAAGAACUUAAUAAAUUUAUGCUAUUCAUGCACAUUACUGAUAAUUCUCUUUAUCUUUGUGCAUAAAUAUAUUUGUUCAACAUUUCAAUAUGUAUUAAUAAUCAUUCAUACAGUAUAUGUUUUUUUCGAAUCUACUCAUAGAAACCAGAAAGUCCCGCAGCAACGCGCGGGGUAUCAUCUAGUUUCAAUAAUUUGCGUGUGUGACUCCCAGAUGCAGAGGCUGGGGGUCAUCAUCCUCCUUUUCAAGAAAAAACA